UGAUAAUGGUGAGGGUAAUUUCUAAGCAUACCCUUAAAUCUCACCCAUGCUUAGUAAAGAUUCUUUUCUUUUUUCUGUCUGAAACUCAAGAUCCCGCUCCUCAAGUG
rfam:Capsicum annuum cultivar Zunla-1 chromosome 1, whole genome shotgun sequence